UGGGGAAUAUUGGACAAUGGGCGCAAGCCUGAUCCAGCAAUGCCGCGUGUGUGAAGAAGGCCUGCGGGUUGUAAAGCACUUUCAGUGGGGAGGAAAGCCUAAGUGAUAAUACCAUUUAGGGGUGACGUUACCCACAGAAGAAGCACCGGCUAACUCUGUGCCAGCAGCCGCGGUAAUACAGAGGGUGCGAGCGUUAAUCGGAAUUACUGGGCGUAAAGGGUGCGUAGGUGGUUUAAUAAGUUAAGUGUGAAAUCCCCGGGCUUAACCUGGGAAUUGCGCUUAAUACUGUUGAGCUAGAGUACUGUAGAGGAAAGUGGAAUUUCCGGUGUAGCGGUGAAAUGCGUAGAUAUCGGAAGGAACAUCAGUGGCGAAGGCGACUUUCUGGACAGAUACUGACACUGAGGCACGAAAGCAUGGGGAGCAAACAG
rnacentral:rRNA from 1 species